CUUUGAACUUCAUGUUUUCACAACACAUUAAAAGAAAAUCAACAAUACAUUUCAUUUUCGAUAUGCUUAAAACUAGUCACGAGAGGAGAUAACUAUCAUAUAAAAUCCAUGUGCCCCCAAUUUUUUUCUUAUGAAUUCUUCUCGGCGGUCCAAAUAUAGACCAUAAUAAAUAAAGAAAAGUACGGGGCUAGAUUCCAACGUACGUGUUUUAAAUGAAUUUGACUAAACUUGGGGAAAUUAAUAUCAAUGAGUUGAGAAGAGUUCAAUGAAAGAAACUAGUCAUGGGCAUAUGAGCAAACUACCAAAUGAGAGCCGUCAAUUCUUCACCUUCUUCUAACGUCGCUUUCCCAACGACGUUAAUUUACGGCAAGUUGGUGGAUAUCUUUCCCUCCCACCGUCGAUUUUUCACCCCUCUUGUGUUGGCACGUUCCAACAAAGAUAUCUAUCACAUCUUGUGCGAGUGUUUUUAUUGACACUUGGUUUUCAGUUUGGUUUGGUUCAUCUGUUGGUUUUGUUAAUCCGAUGGAUUUUUGUUGGAGGAUAGGCCGUCGG
rnacentral:lncRNA from 1 species